AUCACUAGUUAUAGGUGAUUGUAUUGUUUUAUUCAAACCUGUGACAAUUCCUCUUUAAAUCUUUCAAUUAUACAUUCUGAAGUAAUACGUUGCCUCAUCAUUAGAGCAUAAUUAUACGACAAGGUCUGGCUCAUAUUAUACAAAAAAAAAAAAAAAAACUACAUGAUGCACAAGUGAUCACGUUAUAAAGGAUGUUUAAUAAAUAAGGGACCACCAAAAUACCUUUAAUAUUCAUAAUACGCUUAAUGCAUUCAAGAUGGAUGUUCUUGGGAUAGUGCAAUAUACAU